AUUGAACGCUGGCGGCAUGCUUCACACAUGCAAGUCGAACGGUAACAGGUUAAGCUGACGAGUGGCGAACGGGUGAGUAAUGCAUCGGAACGUGCCCGAUCGUGGGGGAUAACGCAGCGAAAGCUGCGCUAAUACCGCAUACGAUCUGAGGAUGAAAGCGGGGGACCGUAAGGCCUCGCGCGAUCGGAGCGGCCGAUGUCAGAUUAGGUAGUGGGUGGGGUAAAGGCCACCCAAGCCGACGAUCUGUAGCUGGUGGGAGAGGACGACCAGCCACACUGGGACUGAGACACGGCCCAGACUCCUACGGGAGGCAGCAGUGGGGAAUUUUGGACAAUGGGCGAAAGCCUGAUCCAGCAAUGCCGCGUGCAGGAAGAAGGCCUUCGGGUUGUAAACUGCUUUUGUACGGAGCGAAAAGGUCCUUUCUAAUACAAGGGGCUCAUGACGGUACCGUAAGAAUAAGCACCGGCUAACUACGUGCCAGCCGCCGCAGUAA
rnacentral:rRNA from 1 species